rnacentral:tRNA from 4 species
CAGGGUGUAGCGCAGUUGGUAGCGCAUCUGCUUUGGGAGCAGGGGGUCAUAGGUUCAAAUCCUGUCACCUUGA